GUUUUUCUAACAUGGAGAUCCAAAGAGAGACAGGGGGAAAAGGAACAAGGAAUUAUACGGUUGCUGGCAGCCUGGCAGGAUGGUAAUGGGCUGAUGUGAUAGCACAUUUGUCUGCUCUUCUGCUGAUUGAUUCCACCCUGGGCUCGGACACAUUCUAUAGCUCAUCUCCAGAAGGACCACAGGUGUCCAGAGGUCAGAGGACAAUUUGCAGCAGUCAAUUCCUUCUGGAACCACUCAGGUGGUCAGGCAUUGUGACUGGUGCCUUUUCCUGAGCCCUCUCACUACCCCCCUUACCUUUCAUCCUGUAGAGUCAACUCACUCAUUAGCUGUUCCGUGCAGCAGGCUCUUGUAUUAGUAGCAACAGGAGCCAAUGGCGUGUAGCUAUUGGAAACCAGGAGGGAGCUCCGUGCCCACUGACGAUAUGGCUAUGACAUUUAUAGAAGAGCCCCAAGAAGAAAGAAGUGAGAAACAUGGACCAAGCUAACAGAGCUGCUUGAUUUUUUUUCUGUGUCUUUGGUUCGUUGAAGAUGUACAUCUGUGACUGUAGGGCCUGACGGCGCGACUCCGCCCUACCUCACCGUCUGGCAGUGGCAAGUGUUCCUCAGCCAUUCCUCAGGGUUCUGGUGGCCCAUCGACAGUGAAGAGCAUCUCACGCUAGACUUUACAGUUCUGGAUUCAGUGCUGAACCCAUGGCAUCGCACACACAUAUACAUGCGCACUUGUAGCCUCCUGUCCCCCCUUCUACGCUUGCUUAAACCCACACAAGAGCCCAAGUCAUCCAGAACCCAAGUCCGGAAGAACUCCAGCUAGCUCCGCUCAGGGCCAGGGAUUUGUCGCCGUAUUCAGAUCCCUGGGAUAGAUAGAGACUGAGGACUGCCACAGGGCUGUGGCAGGAGAAAAGCAGGCAUGAGGCUGCUCAGCAGAGAAGUGGAAUCCUGCCGUAUCCGGAACAGGAUGCAAGAAAUUGUUGCAUCGUAAAGGAUCAGAUUCCAACUGUGCAGGUUCCAAGUCUUCACCUCUCGAUUUUCUUCGCAUUUUUUGUCUUUAUCGGGUAGGCCGGCACCUUACUCUGGAGAAACCAUUACCCUAGUGCAAACACAGUUUGGGAAGGAGCUGGUGAGGGGACUGCCUCUCACAAGCUGACGUUGUGAUUUGACCGUCCACAUUUUAUGAGAGGAGAGAUACCCAAAAGUCUACCCCUGCACUUGUCUUAGGCUGGGGUCUCUUGCCACGCACUUAAAAACCUCAUCUGUAUCUUUUUCAUCUUUGUGCUUUCUCUGGGCAAAAUUUCUUCAAAAACACUACCCACUUCACUAGCUUUUAUUUCUAUUGACUUAGAUACCACAAGGAAUGCUAUUAAUAAUUAUAUCUAUGAAAUCUGCUAGGAUCUUUUAUAAGCGUGACUGGGCAUUUUCAAAGGGACAUACACUGUGACAUGUUAAAUAUUUCUUUGGAAUUUCACCUGAUUGCAUUGGUUCUGAUUGGACACGGUUCUGAGUGUUGGUUUUCUCCGGCCUAGUUUUGCUGGCUCCACUCUUGGCUUAUUUCCCUGUGUCUUAUGUAACUUGAUCUUGGAAUUAGUCUAUCUUUGAGACUCCUUUAAGUCUUGGAUUAAACGUGAGUUUUCU
ensembl:processed_transcript 5330411J11Rik RIKEN cDNA 5330411J11 gene